GUAGAGGACAGGUGAGACAGCAGAGAACAGAUGAGACAGUAGAGGACAGGUGAGACAGCAGAGGACAGGUGAGACAGUAGAGGACAGGUGAGACAGUGGAUGAAAGGUGAGACACUGGACAGGGUUGGCACUUUAGAAACAUAAAACUGAUUUUAUUCUGAAGAAAAAUAACAGAAGAUAAGUGCUCAAGGUCAGGGGUCAAGGAGUAAAAGAUCAAAGGGUCAGGGGUCAAGAUGUCAAAUGAUCAGGGGUCAAGGAGUCAAAGGAUCAGGGGUCAAGAUGUCAAAGGAUCAGGGUUCAAGAUGUCAAAGGAUCAGGGUCAAGAAGUCAAAGGGUCAGGGGUCAAGAUGUCAAAGGGUCAGGGGUCAAGAUGUCAAAGGGUCAGGGGUCAAGAUGUCAAAGGGUCAGGGGUCAAGAUGUCAAAGGGUCACGGGUCAAGAUGUCAAAGGGUCAGGGGUCAAGAUGUCAAAGGAUCAGGGUUCAAGAUGUCAAAGGAUCAGGGUUCAUGAUGUCAAAGGGUCAGGGGUCAAGAUGUCAAAGGGUCAGGGGUCAAGAUGUCAAAGGGUCACGGGUCAAGAUGUCAAAGGGUCAGGGGUCAAGAUGUCAAAGGGUCAGGGGUCAAGGAGUCAAAGAUSAAAGGAUCAGGUGUCAAGAUGUCAAAGGGUCAGGGGUCAAGAAGUCAAAGGAUCACGAGUCAAGAUAUCAAAGGAUCAGGGGUCAAGAUGUCAAAGGAUCAGGGGUCAAGAUGUCAAAGGGUCAGGAUUCAAGAUGUCAAAGGAUCAGGGGUCAAGAUGUCAAAGGGUCAAGGUUCAACAUGUCAAAGGAGUAGGGGUCAAGAUGUCAAAGGGUCAGGGGUGAAGAUGUCAAAGGGUCAGGGGUCAAGAUGUCAAAGGAUCAGGGGUCAAGAUGUCAAAGGUUCAGGGGUCAAGAUGUCAAAGGGUCACGGGUCAAGAUGUCAAAGGGUCAGGGGUCAAGAUGUCAAAGGAUCAGGGGUCAAGAUGUCAAAGGGUCAGGGGUCAAGAUGUCAAAGGAUCAGGGGUCAAGAUGUCAAAGAGUCAGGGGUCAAGAUGUCAAAGGGUCAGGGGUCAAGAUGUCAAAGGAUCAGGGGUCAAGAUGUCAAAGAGUCAGGGGUCAAGAUGUCAAAGGGUCAGGGGU